UACGUAGGGUGCAAGCGUUAAUCGGAAUUACUGGGCGUAAAGCGUGCGCAGGCGGUUUUGUAAGUCUGUCGUGAAAGCCCCGAGCUCAACCUGGGAAUUGCGAUGGAGACUGCAAGGCUUGAAUCUGGCAGAGGGGGGUAGAAUUCCACGUGUAGCAGUGAAAUGCGUAGAGAUGUGGAGGAACACCGAUGGCGAAGGCAGCCCCCUGGGUCAAGAUUGACGCUCAUGCACGAAAGCGUGGGGAGCAAACAGG
rnacentral:rRNA from 1 species